UCAUGUAUCUCUCAUUCUCUUCUCCAACACAUUACACACACUGAAAAUCGAAAGCGGCGCCUCCCUCAACCUACUUCUCUCGCCUACUCGUCCAAACUCCACACCACCUUCGGUCACUCCUUCAGCCAGACCACCCCCGGCUAGACCACCUCGUGAUUCACCUACCCCAGUUCCCCCCGUUUAGAGUCCACACCCCUACCCUGUCGCGACUCGCGAUUCCGCCGGAUCCGCGCCAGUCCCACAGGCCCCAGGCGUCCUCCACCCUAUGCCGCGCCAGAACCGUAGCCUUCUGCCGCGCCGCAGACUCUAGACCUACCGCGGCUCCGCCGACGCCAGCUUCAGCCUUCCACCGCACGGCCAUAGACUCCAAACCACCCUCCACCUCUGAUGAUCAUUUCGUGGAAGUUGAAUCUUUUUCACAACAAGAGCAUGACACUCCUUAUUUGUUGGUGGACAAGUAUGAGAAGCAAGUAAUGCUUGAAGGAGAUAAUGAGAAAUAAAGAACAGUGCAUAAUGUGAAGAACUUUGAUGUGUUGAAUUGGUGGAUGGUUAAUGGACCUAAGUUGCCUAUUCUUGCCAAGCUUGCUCAAGACGUAUUGUCUGCACCUGUUUCUACGGUUGCAUCCGUCAGCUUUUAGCACCGGGGGAAGGGUGCUCGAUCUUUUUAGGAGUUCUUCCUACUAUAGUGGAGAGCCUCCUUUGCACCCAAGAUUAGUUGAGGAAGGGAAAGGAUCCCAUUACAAUUGAAGAAGAUUUGGAGUCCAUUCGAAAGCACGAAGAAGGAAAAAUCAAGGAUUAAUUGGAGGAUUUUGAAGAUAUGAGAUUGAAUUACGUCUCGAGAGGAAUCCGUGAGCGCAAACGGCGACCAAAUCUGAGUCCGGACGAGGGAGAACGGAGCAAAACGAGCGGACUGCGCAAGGAGCCCAGGGCCCCGCGGCCGCUGGCAUGACCGCGGCUUCCUGGGCGUUUUGAUACAGAUUGCAUCCGCGGUCCGGGCCCCGACCGCGGGCCUCUCCAAAAGCUCCCCCACGGUCCUACGCCGCGGUCACGGCCGUGACCGCGGGAGAAACACGGAAUUGAUGCUUUUGGUGGGGCUCAGACGCGAUUUCAACCCCCAAAUACUCAUUUUCCCCCCACUUUUCACAUCAUCCACCACAAAUCACCUCUCCAAACCCUAGCCUCCAUUUUUCUCCUCCAACCCAUCAAUUUCUUCUACCAUUUUCUCUCUUCCACACAUUAAAACAACACCUAAAUCAAAGAAAGAAGGGGAAGACUUGGAAAUGAGUUCAUCAAGACUACAUGAUUGAAGAUCAAGAUUAUAGAAUUUGUCUAUGAAUCUCUAUCUCUUUAUAUCUUUGUUUAUAUUUUCUUAUGACUUGGGAUUUAUUUUUAUUAUGAAUAUGCUUGGCUAAAAUCCCUUAUCUUAGGGAUUAGAUUAGAUGGAUUUGUAAUGGAUUGAUUUCUUUGUUUAAUAUAUAUCUGAUUGUGCUUAUUGUUA